GCAUCUCUGCACAUGUGCUGGGUUGAUCUUAAGCAGAAAACCAGAAGCGGCAGUGGUCUCCAGUAGAGACCCAAGGACCCCAAGCUCUCUGUGACACAAACAGGAAGGGCACUGUGGUGCAUUGAAAACCUGCUCCAGUAGUGCAUUACCAGUGCACUAUGCUGCUGUUUCAUCAAGGAGAAAGGAGGUGACCACCCUCAGAGGAACUUCAUGCUCUACAGUAUGCUUUUGAGUGUCACGUGGAGAAGUGUGGAAGGCGUUCCUCCAUGGAAGAGCGGUGACCGGAGCGUGAGCUGAUACCUGGCAGACAAGCUGGAUGUCAUUGCAACUGGUGGCGUAAGGAGAAGACAACAAGAUGCUUGUGUGGUUGUGCGUGCCGGGACUUGAUUGCGUCUUUUCUCAGACUACACUGUUUUUACUUGUACACAUGUAAAAUAAAUAUUGUUUGCUCAAUUUGAGA
rnacentral:lncRNA from 1 species